AUGAGGAUGGUGAUGAGAGUCAUGCUGCUUGUGGUUUCUGCUGUGUUGACUGACAGAUCUGAGUCCUGCAUGCAGGAGGUUUUUGUACGGCCACUUAAUGAGUUUGUAUCACUGUGGUACACUUUUGGUGGAGGAACCAAACUCACCGUUGACUUGGGUGUGGUGCGGCCCACCCUGACCGUCCUCCCCCCCUCCAAAGAGGAGGUGCAGCAGGGCAGUGCCACACUGCUGUGUCUGGCCAGCGGGGGCUCUCCCUCAACCUGGAGGCUGGACUGGAAGGUGGGGGGCAGCAGCAGCAGCUCCUCAGAGGUGUCACACAGCCCGGAGGUCUUGGGGAGGGACGGCCACUACAGCUGGAGCAGCACCCUGAGCCUCUCUGCAGACCGCUGGAGGAAGGCGGGCUCAGUGAGCUGUGAGGCCAGUCUGAAUGGACAGACCCCUGUCACUCAAAGCCUGGACCCUGACCGCUGCUCAGAGUAGAGCUUCAGCAACACUUCCUGUCUGGAAAUGAUGCUUCUUUUUCUUUGCUCCAGAUCUUGAUGAAGCUACAGAUCUUCUCUGUUCAGCUGUUUUAAUGUGCAUGUUGCUUUCUAACACUGAUCUUCUUCAUAUUCUGCUUUAUGUUCAUUACUUUUCAAAUGAAACUGAAUUUUAUGAC